UCCGUCGUGGUGCAGUGGUCCAGCACGCCAAUCUCAACACGACGGCCCCCCUGGGUCCACCGCGGCUCCCGCCGCUCACAGUAAAUAGGCUCCCGCCGCUGUGUGGCUGAUUGUCUGGCCGGUGGCCACCAGGGUGGUCCGUUACGGAUCAGACUGGAGACCCGAGUUCGAUUCUCGGCGAUGGAG